UCAGAGGUGAUCAGGGCAACUGCAGAGAUGAGACUAACAGAGAUGUAUGUCUCUGAUUGAAAAGGAAAUGAUACAACAGGAGGUGGAACCAAGGAGAAACCAUUUAAAACAGGCUUAAAGGCUUUGAUGACAGUUGGAAAAGAGCUGUUUCCCACCAUUUAUGUGGAUUCACAAAAGGAAGAUGAGAGGUGGGCUGUCAUUUCCAAGUCACAAAUGAAGAACAUUAAAAAGAUAAGGCACAGAGAACAGUUGAACAAUUAUUCUUGGGAGAAGAAAGAGGCAGAAUAUUCCUUACAAAGAGAAAAGAACCAGGAAGAAGCAAAGAAAAUUAUCAUAAAAAAUGACCUGAGCCUGCCAGACCCAGCAUCUUUAAAUAUUUGUGCAUUAGGAGGAUAUAGAGGCCAAAGAGUGAAGGUGUCUGGCUGGGUCCACAGAUUUUGUAGGCAAAGACAGAAUUUGAUGUUUCUGGUAUUGCAUGAUGGUGUAGGCUAUCUUCAGUGUGUCUUGUCAGCCGACUUGUGUCAGUGUUACAAUGGAGUAGUCUUUGUCUACUGAGAGUAGUGAGGCAGUAUGUGAAAUAUAUACUAACUACAUAACCUGAUAAAUGAAUCUGAGGUAGAUGUCCAGCUCAGCAACUGGCACAUGAUUAUCCAAGGAGUGAACAUGUCCAAAAUCUUGAAAGCACAGUCCAUGAUCACCAGGUGCCUUAGGAAUCACUUCUUCGACAGGGGUACAGUGAAGUUACUACUCUAACACUGGUGCAGACAUAGGUAGAAGGUGGGGCCAUACUCUUCAAGCUUGACUAUUUUGGAGAAGAAGCGUUUUUGACCCAGUCCACACAGUUAUACCUGGAGACCUACCUUCUAGCCCUGGGGUAUAUUUUCGUGUUUCCAAGUCAUACAGGGUAAAACAGUCCAGAACAUGAAGGCACGUGGUUGAAUUCACUCAUGUGGAAGUCAAGUGUCCCUUGUUGACCACUGAGGACUUCCUGAACCAUUUAGAGGACCUAGUGUGUGAAAUGGUGGACAGAGUCUGGAAGUCACCAAUGGCAAGCAUAGUGCCUCAGCUUGAACUUUAAAACCCUAAACAGUUUUUCAGAUAGAUGAACUAUUCAGAUGCCAUCAGGUGGCUGAGGGAGCAUGAUGUAAAGAAAGAAGAUGGGAUGCUCUAUGAAUCUGGAGAGGAUAUUCCUGAAGCUCCUGAGAGAUUGAUGAUAGACACCAUUAAUGAACCAAUCCUGCUAUGUCAAUUUCCUGUGGAAAUCAAGUUCUAUACCCAGGGAUGUCCUGAGGAUCCUCAAAUUAACUCAGUCUGUUGACAUGUUGUUGCCCAAUGUUGGUGGGAUUGUGGGCAGCUUUAUAAGCUCUUGGGACAGUGAAGAAAUUCUAGAAGGCUAUAAAAGGGAAGGAAUUGACCCCGCUCCUUAUUACUUGUAUACAGAUGAGAGAAAAUAUGAUACAUGUCCUCAUGAGGCACAAGGAACCUGAAAACAGGCUCCCACAGGCUUGGAAAGAUUCCUGAGUUGGAUUCUAACAGGUAGCACAUCCAAGAUGUAUGCUCAUACCUUCAAUUAGUCCAGCACUGCAGGCCAUAA